rnacentral:rRNA from 2 species
UAUUCUGGUGUCCUAGGCGUAGAGGAACCACACCAAUCCAUCCCGAAUUUGGUGGUUAAACUCUACUGCGGUGACGAUACUGUAGGGGAGGUCCUGCGGCAAAAUAGCUCGAUGCCAGAAUGAUAAAAAGCUUAACACCUCUUAUUUGACUUUUUCACUAUUUUGAAAUAAGAAAAAGAUCCAAAUCUAAAAUGCAAAGGUCGUCUUAUUCAAAACCUCAAUCAUCACAUCCCCUCUCUCCCACUUCACACCUCGGAACGCACUGUUCUUAUAGAGAGAAAGGCGCUUUCCCAUCUUCUUAACCUGAAAUGAAGGGGUACCCCCGGGAAGAGAUCCAGUGGAGACAGCU